rnacentral:rRNA from 1 species
AUGUGUCGAAUUACUCGGUACAAUAUUCUUAGAACAAAAAACCCCUCUUAUCUUAUAUAUAUAAGAAAAAAAGUUGUGUUUGGUAUACUGUGUGCUAAGUAUUCUUUUCCUAUCAAUGAACUUUCCAUAAUUUUCAUAAUAGAAUCCUCAUAUUCUAUUAUGAAAAUUAUGAAAAGUGGAGUAUUCUUACAAUAG